rnacentral:rRNA from 1 species
GAUGAACGCUAGCGGCAGGCUUAACACAUGCAAGUCGAACGGCAGCGGGGAUUCACUUCGGUGAAUCUGCCGGCGAGUGGCGCACGGGUGAGUAACACGUAUGCAACCUGCCUCUGUCAGGGGUAUAACUCUGCGAAAGUAGGGCUAAUACCGCGUAUAUUCCCGGAGGGCAUCCUUCGGGGAGGAAAGGUUUCGGCCGGACAGAGAUGGGCAUGCGGCGCAUUAGGCAGUUGGCGGGGUAACGGCUCACCAAACCGACGAUGCGUAGGGGUUCUGAGAGGAAGGUCCCCCACACUGGUACUGAGACACGGCCCAA